rnacentral:rRNA from 1 species
UACGGGGGGGGGCAAGCGUUUGUUCGGAAUUAUUGGGCGUAAAGAGCUCGUAGGCGGUUUGUCGCGUCUGCCGUGAAAGUCCGGGGCUCAACUCCGGAUCUGCGGUGGGUACGGGCAGACUAGAGUGAUGUAGGGGAGACUGGAAUUCCUGGUGUAGCGGUGAAAUGCGCAGAUAUCAGGAGGAACACCGAUGGCGAAGGCAGGUCUCUGGGCAUUAACUGACGCUGAGGAGCGAAAGCAUGGGGAGCGAACAGG